GCCGUACGGGAGGCAGCAGGUGGGGAAUUUUGGACAAUGGGGGCAACCCUGAUCCAGCCAUGCCGCGUGCGGGAAGAAGGCCUUCGGGUUGUAAACCGCUUUUGGUCGGGAAGAAAGGGUUCUCCCGAAUACGGAGGACUGUUGACGGUACCGGCAGAAUAAGCACCGGCUAACUACGUGCCAGCAGCCGCGGUC
rnacentral:rRNA from 1 species